GGAGGGUGCGAGCGUUAAUCGGAAUUACUGGGCGUAAAGCGCGCGUAGGCGGUUUGUUAAGUCAGCUGUGAAAGCCCCGGGCUCAACCUGGGAACUGCAGUUGAUACUGGCCGACUAGAGUACGAGAGAGGGAGGUAGAAUUCCAUGUGUAGCGGUGAAAUGCGUAGAUAUAUGGAGGAAUACCAGUGGCGAAGGCGGUCUCCUGGCUCGAUACUGACGCUGAGGUGCGAAAGCGUGGGGAUCAAACAGGAUUAGAUACCCUGGUAGUCCACGCCGUAAACGAUGUCUACUAGCCGUUGGGAGACUUGAUUUCUUAGUGGCGCAGCUAACGCAAUAAGUAGACCGCCUGGGGAGUACGGCCGCAAGGUUA
rnacentral:rRNA from 1 species